AUUGAACGCUGGCGGCAGGCCUAACACAUGCAAGUCGAGCGGAUGAAGGGAGCUUGCUCCUGGAUUCAGCGGCGGACGGGUGAGUAAUGCCUAGGAAUCUGCCUGGUAGUGGGGGAUAACGUCCGGAAACGGGCGCUAAUACCGCAUACGUCCUGAGGGAGAAAGUGGGGGAGCUUCGGACCUCACGCUAUCAGAUGAGCCUAGGUCGGAUUAGCUAGUUGGUGGGGUAAAGGCCUACCAAGGCGACGAUCCGUAACUGGUCUGAGAGGAUGAUCAGUCACACUGGAACUGAGACACGGUCCCGACUCCUACGGGAGGCAGCAGUGGGGAAUAUUGGACAAUGGGCGAAAGCCUGAUCCAGCCAUGCCGCGUGUGUGAAGAAGGUCUUCGGAUUGUAAAGCACUUUAAGUUGGGAGGAAGGGCAGUAAGUUAAUACCUUGCUGUUUUGACGUUACCAACAGAAUAAGCACCGGCUAACUUCGUG
rnacentral:rRNA from 1 species